UACGUAGGGGCUAGCGUUAUCCUGAAUUACUGGGCGUAAAGGGUGCGUAGGUGGUUUCUUAAGUCAGAGGUGAAAGGCUACGGCUCAACCGUAGUAAGCCUUUGAAACUGAGAAACUUGAGUGCAGGAGAGGAGAGUAGAAUUCCUAGUGUAGCGGUGAAAUGCGUAGAUAUUAGGAGGAAUACCAGUUGCGAAGGCGGCUCUCUGGACUGUAACUGACACUGAGGCACGAAAGCGUGGGGAGCAAACAGGAUUAGAUACCCUGGUAGUCCCU
rnacentral:rRNA from 1 species